AAUGGUAGGAAUGCAGGUCAAUUUGUUCAAAAUUAUGCUUUUUGAAAAACUAAACGUUACUGAGGUUAAGCUCAUGAUAAUAGGAACAUCUGCAUUCUUGUGUAUGUGUGUGUGUCUGUGUGUGUGGUUGGGAUCUAAGUACAAAAAUGUGUUCUUAAUUUACUUCUGUAAUCCUGUUUUUUAUACACACCAUUCGUUCGUUCAUCAUAUCAGUAAUCACUUUAUCCUGUUCAGGGUCAUGAUGGGUCCAGAGCCUAUCCUGGGAACACUGGGUGUGAGCUAGGAAUCCACUCUGGAUGAGACGCCAGUACAUCACAGGGCACCAUACAUACACACACACACACACACACACUCUCAUGUACUUCUAGGAUCAGUUCAACUGCUGGCAUGGUUUUAGCAAGCAGGAAGGGAUUCCCAGAGGUAAAAGACAGACACACACACAUCGUUAAACAUGUUGAACACACAUUGUGUUGAACAUGCGAAGCUCUGAAGAGACAAUAACCAGAGCUCAGGGUUAAACCUAGAGCUGUGAGAUGGCAUCAUCUUUAUUUAAAUAGACAGUUCUGGGACUUUUCAUGCCAUUUAUCAUGCUGUACAGGGACAUUUUUUACAGUUUUUAUCCAGACAGGCCUUCCACUAACAUCUGCAGUUUUCAUUCACAUUCUUCAGCCAGAGAAGAACCAUUACAUUUCAUUGAUCUGAUUCAUGAUUACUUAUAAAGUUUUGAAGUGCAAGAGAAUGUUGUUAGAUCAUAUUGUUUCAUGAUAAACACACAUAAGUAGAACUGGAUGUGCUUUACAGCUGCUGUGUAAAUUCAUACUGUGAAAAUGGAAACAAGAUUUUUCUGCCAUAUCUUUUCUGUCCCCUCAAUUAGAUGCAAAAUGGGUAACGUACAAAUUUCUGUAUGAGAACAAAAGGCUGAAUUAAUUUUCAUUUGUUCAUCCUUAGCACUAUAUACUGGUCAGGGUCAUGAUGGAUCUGGAGCCUACCACAGGGUUGAGAUGGGAAUACACCAUAGACAUGGCACCGUACAUACCCGAUCCACCCUUUGGGGGAAACCAGAGGAAACCCACAGAAACACAGGGGCCACCAUACAUUUGUAUGCAAUGUCCAUGAAGAUAAUGCGAUUGGGAAGCAAUAACCUGCUUUAUUUACUACACAUUACUCCUGCUGUCUGCUCAGAUGUUUGCCUUCCAGACCUGCCUGAUUCUUAUGGUCUGCUUCUGCCUUCACCUAAGAAAUCACUUGCUGCUGCUGAGGAUGACCCUUCAUACAUAGCCUAAAGUAUGUUGUGAAGUUCUUGUGGAUUGCACCACAUGGAAACACUGCAGAUGACUGUAGAUGCAGUCUUAGCCUUUCUUAAAAGCUAUGCUACGCUUGACUCUAAAAAAAAAAAAAUAGCGAUCUGUAUUCUUCACCCAGAAAAUGGUGAUGGAUUAUUUUUUGAGUAUGGUUCUUCUCAAGGCAUCAUUGCGACCACAGACAAUUCCCCCUACAACAGACCACCAGAGGUCAACCCUUAUUCUUCAUUGUAUUUGAUCAAAACUCGCUUGAUUACACUCACCUGUUUUGUAUUGUUUCAUUACUUCCCCUGUUUAAUGACUGGAGCAUUGUAUGCUGUGUGCUUCUGUUUACAUGUGUUUGUGAUUAUUGUUUGCACUGUAUUACAGCUUUUGUUUUUGUGUUCAAGACUUGCCUAGCCUAGCCCAUCUUUUCUAGUUGGGUGUUCUUCUUGAAUCUCUGUUUGUUCUUUGAGAUAUCCUACAUUAAAAUAUUCUGCAUCCCACUUUGUCUGCACUACGAGGCACAAGGUUUCUUCCUAAUGUUGUCUCUGGGAGUUUUGCCACCAUCACCUCUUUGCUCAUUAGGGUUGAAUAUAAAUUCUCUAUAUAUAUCUCUGUCUGGUGUUGGGCUAUGUUCAUUGUUAA